UACAAAUAAUAAGGUGGAAAGGUGAUUACUCUUGAGCCUUAUAAACACAUGCACGUAAAUCUCCCUGGCUUCUGCCCCCCAGGGCUAAAUGAUUGUGGACAUUUGACAAAGGUUAGAAUUACCUGCUGUGGGCAGGGACCUUGGUCAUAAUCCUGUCAUUUUCCAGAUAGAAAUGACUGACUGCGUCAUGGAAUUAUCUACAGCUAUGUGACUUUGGGGACUUGCUUCCUUUCUCUGGGCCUCAGUUUCUCCUUCGACAAACCAGGAAUAAUUCCUAAGUUUCUUUCCAGGUAAGUCUCUGUUCCUGCUUUUAACGCUAUUGUCUUGGAAAAAGUCAUGUAUAUGAGGCAACAAGCCACACCUUACUCAUUCCUCCCUAGUCCCCAGACUAUUUGACCAUGUGCCCUAGAGCAGAACACCUGAACCUUACCAAUACCUAACCCAAGGCAGUGGUGGUGAAGAGCAGAAGCUCUGAAAUUGACCGGCCUGCAAUUGAGCCUGUUUCACCACCAGAAGUUUCUAUCCUGUUUCUAUCCAGCAGUGUAAUUUUGGACAAGUUCCUUAAUAUCUUUGUGCUUCAGUUUCCUCAUCUACAAAAUGGGGAUGAAAAAUUCAGUUUUGAAAAUAAAAAACAUUAAUAUAUCUAAAUAUAUAGAAAUAUGCCUGGCUUAUAAUAGCUAUAUAAACGCUCACUAUGUUCAUCUUUGAAUGCUGAAGUAUUUGAAAAACAGCUUUUGUUCAGAUCCAGUAGGGGAAUCUUUUUAAGCAUUAACUUCAAUUAAAUAGGUAUUAUAAUAAUUCCUUAGAAUUAGUUAACAAAUGAAAUUCAUAAUAUAUGUCAUGUUCCUGUUUUAACAAUCACCAAGCAUAUGUAAAUAUUGUUUAAAAAUUCAUUUUAUGUAGAAUUGUGUCUGAAGUCAUUGUCAAAGAAUAAAGCUGAAGCUGGAGAAAUUUG
rnacentral:lncRNA from 1 species